rnacentral:rRNA from 1 species
GAUGAACGCUGGCGGCGUGCCUAAUACAUGCAAGUCGAGCGAACAGAUAAGGAGCUUGCUCCUUUGACGUUAGCGGCGGACGGGUGAGUAACACGUGGGUAACCUACCUAUAAGACUGGGAUAACUUCGGGAAACCGGAGCUAAUACCGGAUAAUAUUUCGAACCGCAUGGUUCGAUAGUGAAAGAUGGUUUUGCUAUCACUUAUAGAUGGACCCGCGCCGUAUUAGCUAGUUGGUAAGGUAACGGCUUACCAAGGCGACGAUACGUAGCCGACCUGAGAGGGUGAUCGGCCACACUGGAACUGAGACACGGUCCAGACUCCUACGGGAGGCAGCAGUAGGGAAUCUUCCGCAAUGGGCGAAAGCCUGACGGAGCAACGCCGCGUGAGUGAUGAAGGUCUUCGGAUCGUAAAACUCUGUUAUUAGGCAAGAACAUACGUGUAAGUAACUGUGCACGUCUUGACGGUACCUAAUCAGAAAGCCACGGCUAACUACGUG